UUAGGUAGGGGAGGAUGUUGUGGACCGCCCAAUUCGCUAGCCCAAUUGCCCACAAUUUCGGGCUAGAGAGCCAACACAAGGCCAAGAGUGCUAGCUUGGCCCAAUUCCGGAAAGUUCUAGGCAAAUCUAGAACAUGUGAGCUUGUAAAUACUCUAGAAUUCUCCUUACAAUUCCAGCACAUGUAAAUAGCUAGGAAGUGGUAGAAUUCUCUAGAAUCUCUAGAGCUUGGCAAGCCUCCCCUAUAAAUAUGGGAUGGCAUUAGGCAUUUGCAUCCAACA
rnacentral:lncRNA from 1 species